GUGGGGAAUCUUAGACAAUGGGGGAAACCCUGAUCUAGCCAUGCCGCGUGAGCGAUGAAGGCCUUAGGGUUGUAAAGCUCUUUCAGCUGGGAAGAUAAUGACUGUACCAGCAGAAGAAGCCCCGGCUAACUCCGUGCCAGCAGCCGCGGUAAUACGGAGGGGGCUAGCGUUGUUCGGAAUUACUGGGCGUAAAGCGCACGUAGGCGGACCGGAAAGUCAGAGGUGAAAUCCCAGGGCUCAACCUUGGAACUGCCUUUGAAACUCCUGGUCUUGAGGGCGAGAGAGGUGAGUGGAAUUCCGAGUGUAGAGGUGAAAUUCGUAGAUAUUCGGAGGAACACCAGUGGCGAAGGCGGCUCACUGGCUCGAUACUGACGCUGAGGUGCGAAAGCGUGGGGAGCAAACAGGAUUAGAAACCCGUGUAGUCC
rnacentral:rRNA from 1 species